rnacentral:rRNA from 1 species
UACGUAGGGUGCAAGCGUUGUCCGGAAUUAUUGGGCGUAAAGAGCUCGUAGGCGGUCUGUUACGUCGGCUGUGAAAACCUGGGGCUCAACCCCGGGCCUGCAACCGAUACGGGCAGACUAGAAUUCGGUAGGGGAGACUGGAAUUCCUGGUGUAGCGGUGGAAUGCGCAGAUAUCAGGAGGAACACCGGUGGCGAAAGGGCGGGUCUCCUGGG